GUAGGGAAUAUUGGGCAAUGGAGGCAACUCUGACCCAGCCAUGCCGCGUGCAGGAAGACGGUCCUCUGGAUUGUAAACUGCUUUUGAAUGGGAAGAAACGUAGCUUUGCGAAGCUAUUUGACGGUACUAUUAGAAUAAGCACCGGCUAACUCCGUGCCAGCAGCCGCGGUAAUACGGAGGGUGCAAGCGUUAUCCGGAUUUAUUGGGUUUUAAGGGUGCGUAGGCGGCUUUAUAAGUCUGGGGUUAAAGGCGGCAGCUUAACUGUACUCAUGCCCUGGAAACUGUGAAGCUUGAGUGACUUGGAGGUAGCUAGAAUGCCCUGUGUAGCGGUGAAAUUCAUAGAUACGGGGAGGAAUACCGAUUGCGAAGGCAUGUUACUACGAGUAAACUGACGCUGAUGCACGAAAGCGUGGGGAUCAAACAGGAUUAGAUACCCGGGUAGUCC
rnacentral:rRNA from 1 species